GGAGAGGUGGCCGAGUGGUUGAAGGCACCGGUCUUGAAAACCGGCAUGCGGGAGACCGUAUCGAGGGUUCGAAUCCCUCCUUCUCCGCCA
rnacentral:tRNA from 1 species